CAGAAACAGAAAAUGUCUGAUAAGUGUGACAUGUGUCUGCUGGGACUGAUCACUCUCUGUGCACUUCUCACAGUUAUUUGUCCCAGUUGCCUCUGUUUCACUUCCUGUGUUGAGCUGGUUUCCUUGGUUACAUGUUAGUCACACAUGUAUCUUGUUUAGUUCCUUGUUAUCUUUUCUGGUGAAAAUAUCUGUCUGUCCUGUAAUAAUGUAAAAACAGACAUUCAGAGACAGCUGAACUGAUUACUGAAGGGAUAAAGAAGAAAGACACAGAGAGACAUGAGAGACUGAGUCUGGGCUCUGACUGCUCUCUGAACAUCAAGAAAGUCACAAAAGAAGAUCAUGGACUCUCACCUUUUUGGACUCAGCUCUCACAGGGACUAUCAUAUUUGUUGGGUACUGAGAUAUGUUUGAUU